rnacentral:rRNA from 1 species
AUUGAACGCUGGCGGCAUGCCUUACACAUGCAAGUCGAACAGUAACAGGUCUUCGGAUGCUGACGAGUGGCGAACGGGUGAGUAAUACAUCGGAACGUGCCUAGUAGUGGGGGAUAAUUCCUCAAAAGAGGGGCUAAUACCGCUGGAGAUAUAGGGAUGAAAGAAGGGGAUCGCAAACCUUUGGGCAACAAGAGCGGCGGAUGGAAGAUUAGGUAGUUGGUGGGAUAAAAGCUUACCAAGCCGACGAUCUGUAGCUGGUCUGAGAGGACGAUCAGCCACACCGGGACUGAGACACGGCCCAGACUCCUACGGGAGGCAGCAGUGGGGAAUUUUGGACAAUGGGCGAAAGCCUGAUCCAGCAAUGCCGCGUGCAGGAUGAAGGCCUUCGGGUUGUAAACUGCUUUUGUACGGAACGAAAAGCCCCGGGUUAAUACCCUGGGGUCAUGACGGUACCGUAAGAAUAAGCACCGGCUAACUACGUGCCAGCCGCCGCUGUAA